UUCAUAGCCAUGGAUUGAUAACCCAGGUACAAGAAAGGAGACCAUAAUGAGGGUCUGACUCUGGAUUUGUGUUUCAUGAUCUCUACCUUCAUGGGUAUUUCAGUGCUUCCAUUAAGUUACCUGCUGGAGUAGCUUCUUGGCUGGUGGAGCUACAUUAGCUGCAGGGAGACUAGAGGCAGAGCUUGGGACGCUGAAGUCCAUCUCUGCAUAUAGUGGCCAUUAUCGGCCAACAGAUGAUCGUUUGGACACCUUUCUGUCAUUUCUCAAGGAAAAUGGAGUGAACCUUAAUGAAGUCCAGGUAAUAAUUUAGUUUGACCUUACUGCUUCAUUUGUGGUCUUGAAAAGCUUGAUGUCAUUAGUGGAAACAAGUUUGGAUAAUGAUGAA